rnacentral:rRNA from 1 species
GAUGAACGCUGGCGGCGUGCUUAACACAUGCAAGUCGAACGGAUUUAACAGAAAGCUUGCUUUCGGUUAAAUUAGUGGCGGACGGGUGAGUAGCGCGUGGAUAACCUGCCGUAUACAGGGGGAUAACACUUAGAAAUAGGUGCUAAUACCGCAUAAGCGCACAGUUUCGCAUGAGACAGUGUGAAAAACUCCGGUGGUAUACGAUGGAUCCGCGUCUGAUUAGGUAGUUGGUGGGGUAACGGCUCACCAAGCCGACGAUCAGUAGCCGGCCUGAGAGGGUGAACGGCCACAUUGGGACUGAGACACGGCCCAAAACUCCUACGGGAGGCAGCAGUGGGGAAUAUUGCACAAUGGGGGAAACCCUGAUGCAGCGACGCCGCGUGAGUGAAGAAGUAUUUCGGUACGUAAAGCUCUAUCAGCAAGGAAGAAAUACCGACCUUUGGUCGCUAGACGGUACUUGACUAAAGAAGCCCCGGCUAACUACGUG